rnacentral:misc_RNA from 1 species
GUAGGAGUGAGCCUGCUCGCGAUUGCGGUAUGUCUGUCGACAUCCAUGUUUAAUCCGAAAUAGCAAUCGCGAGCAGGCUCACUCCUAC